rnacentral:lncRNA from 1 species
AUUCUGCGAAGUAGUAUGGAAGUGGGGUCUGCAUACCAUUGCUGCUCUGUUCCCUGAAUUCAGUCCCUUUCUAAGGAGUAUGUAUGGGGGUCUAACCUCCUGCUUUUCCAGAGUUACAGCCACUUUUGCUGGAAAGCAUAGAUAUCUAAGGCCCCUGAGGCAUGUGCCUGAGCUGCUUCUCUGCCAAGACUCCGUAUGUGUCAGACUGAAGGCACUGGUGGAGUCGGUUCACAAGGAGAUCUUCUAACCCAAGAGUUGCAAAGAUCUGUGGGAGAAGAUCUUUGUGGGUUCCCCUGAUCACUCAUUCACUCACUGCUUCCCUAUGCAAGGAAGGUUCCCCUGGCUCCGUGUCACUCCCAGAGAUGCCCUGACCAGUGAAGAGGAAUCUAGAGGGGCAGUCUGCCCACAGCCACUUUGCCAUGCUGUGGCGAGUUCCACCCAGUCCGAACUUCCAGGCCUUUUCAGCGUGGUCAGGGGAAGACCUCCUACUGAAGCCUCAGUAAUGGUGGACGCCCCACCCACCACCAAGCUGGAUUGUACCAGGUUAACUUCAGACUGCUGUACUGGCAGCGAGAAUUUCAAGCCAGUGGUUCUUAGCUUGCUGGGCUCAGUGGGAGUGGGACCCGCUGAAUGAGACCACUUGGCUCCCUGGCUUCAACCCCCUUUCCAGGGGAGUAAACGGUUCUGUCUCGCUGGAGUUUCAGGUGCCACUGGGAUAGAGAAAGAAAACAAAAACAAAAACAAAAACAAAAACUCCUGAGGCUAGCUCAGUAUCUGCCUGAACAAUGGCCCAGUUUUGUGCUUGGAACCCAGGACCCUGGUGGUGUAGGCACACAAGGGGAUCUCCUGGUCUGUGGAUUGCCAAAACCGUGGGAAAAGUGUAGUAUCUGGGCCGGAUAGCACAGUCCUUCAUGGCUUCCCUUGGCUGGGAAAGGGAGGCUCCCCUGCUCCUUGCACUUCCCUUGUGAAGCGACGUCCCACCCUGCUUCUGCUUGCCCUCCAUGGGAUGCACCCACUGUCUAACCAGUCCCAAUGAGAUGAACAGGGUAUGUCAAUUGGAAAUGCAGAAGUCACCUGCCUUCUGCAUUGGUCUUCCUAGGAGCUGCAGACCAGAGCUGUUCCUGUUCAGCCAUCUUGCCAGCCAAACUCCAGAAUUAUUUCUUAUAUUCUUUCUUAUCUCUUAUAUUUCUGCAGUUUUUCACCUUCAAUUCCUUCUUCAACCUACAGCAGACUACAGCCCCCAUCCCUCCAGUAACACUUCUUACAUGUGCUGUAAGCUUGAUUACUUGUCUGUAUACUUCAUCAAAUUGUAAGCUUUCAGAGGUCAGGGACUAUGCCCUCUUAUUCAUCUUUUUAUUUACAGUAUCUAGUACAACUCCUGGAACAUAGUAGGUAUUUAGUAAAUACGUAUUGAAGGAGUGGAUAAAUUUGCUUAAAUCAAAGCAAAGCCUUUCUCCUGUUUUGGCUGUUCACUCCAAAAAGAUGGAAUUUUCCCCUUAUUUGGUUUUUCCCUCCAAAAAAGACAGAUUUUCCAGAAUAUACAUAUUCAUUCAUUAUGUGUCAGGGUUCUUAUCUCCCCUUAUUCAUCCUCUUCCUCUAUUGCUUAAAUGAGUGUGUACAUGGAAUUAUAGUGGUCUCUCUUUUCAACAUUGUCACACUGAAUGACAUAGAAAGGAGCCUGAAUAUAGUAGAUGGAAGCAGAAGCCUAUGGAAUUAUUCAGCUGGGCACAUGCAUCAGCUCACCUAAGCAGACUCAGACCAAUUGGAGGAAGGAUGACCUAUCCCAGUCGCUUUUGUUGUGAUGGAUGGUGAAUAAACCCUCUUGGUAUAGCAACUGUACUGGGACACUGGAAAUCUCCCGGCCUGAAAAUAUUUGUUUCUGAUAUCGAAACUUGUAACAGUCAUCCUUUGGUAUGAUCAAAGGAAGAUGUAUUACUUACACAGGCAGGGAAAUCUCAAGGCAAGAGGAUGAAAGGUUAGCCCUCUGGGAGAGAGCCUAGGGGCAGGUGAGGAGGGAGAGACAGAGAGAGAGAGAGAGAGAGAGAGAGAGAGAGAGAGAGAGAGAGACUGGCAAGUACACAGGCACUUUAUAAAAGAGGAAGUUGCCAGCAAAAAGUUUAAAAGAGGAAUCAAGAGGGUGCAUUAGCUUGUGGUAUGUGUGUGGGGGCAGAGUGACGGUUAUCAGGAUACUAAUGCUAAAGGAAGGCAAAAGACACAGUAGGAAUGUGGCUUAGGGGUUGCUGACACUCAGUCAAGUAUCAGUGGGGAUACAAGAUUUUUUUUCCUGUGGUCUUCUCAAUUAUGCCUAAAUCUGAGUAAGCACAGCAACUGCUCAGGUUUCCCGUAAAUAAACAUAUACUUUGUCUGAGAGAGAUCAAAUUUGCAAAGUCAAUUCACAAUAAUUUGACCAGCAACUAUUAUAGCUCCCUGAAAGAUAGGGCAGAGCCAGUCACUGCAUGCAGGAGACGGCCAAGAGAAGGUAUCAACUGGGGUCUGGAGAAUCUCUUAGAGUACUCUUGUAGUAUUAUUAAUUAUUUUGGUUUGUUCUAUUUGUUUAAAUAUUCUGGAGACUUGUUCUGUCUUAUUAACCUACAUGCAGCAGGAGGUCCUCUUUAAGACAGAAACUUUACCUUGACAUGGCAGUAGGUAGUCCAAUGCUAAUCUUUUGUCAGCUACCACAGCAACUAGAGGGCUUUGUGCCUCAUUAAGGGCUUCUAAGGCUUAAGAUGCUUACUGUAUAUGGUCUGCCAGGACUGUGACAAUGUCUGAGUG